UGGGGAGAACUAGAGAGGAGCAGGUACAGGGAGGAGGGACCUGGAGCACCACGAGAUCUGCUGGGCGAGGAAGUGCACCAGGAGGGGAGCCUGGAUCUUGAGGUUACCUCCCAGUGGUGCAAGCAUACUGAGAACGUCGUUGCAAAAGGCUCUGUGGAGACACUGGAGUCACCAAGGAGAAAAUAGAAGUGCUGCACACAAGUUCCCUUUUAAAUGAAGAACUGGGAGAAGGACUGCACCUCUGGAUGGAAACAGAGGUGCACGUGAAAACCCCUCAGUAAUGUUUUGAUGAUGAACCAUCCUCUUCAGUGAUUUCCCUGAAAACAGAGGUGCAACUUGAGGUGGCAGUCCAAAACCAGUAGUGUCAUACCAUGUCACAAAUUACUCUUAUCUUUCAAAGAAGGCAUGUGACAGUACUGUGCAUGCUGUCCGUGCAAGUGCAUCCUUGCUGGCACUUGUGUCCUAGUGAAACAGGUCUACUGACUUGUGAGCCAGUACACAGCCUGUCUAGCAGAUGGAGGAAGCACAUGUUGUCCACAUGGGUUGGUACAACCAUCUUUCAAAAUCACAUCCAUCUGGACUGCAAUACAAGUCCCCAGCCCUGGGAGGCAGACUUGGUCCUCGGUGUCAUUUUUCUUAACAGGAGGUGGGUGAUCUCCUGACUGAAAGGGUCCUUUACACAGAGAGCAAGACAAAGCUAAGGCCUCCCUGCCUUUUCCUUCUCCAAAUCACAGGAGAAAACAU